CUACGGGAGGCUCCAGGCGAGAAAACUUUGCAAUGUGCGCAAGCACGACAAGGUUAAUCCGAGUGGUUUCUGCUAAAGGAACCUUUUGACAGUCCUAGAAACACUGUUGAAUAAGGGGUGGGCAAGUUCUGGUGUCAGCCGCCGCGGUAAAACCAGCACCUCAAGUGGUCAGGAUGAUUAUUGGGCCUAAAGCAUCCGUAGCCGGCUCUGUAAGUUUUCGGUUAAAUCUGUACGCUUAACGUACAGGCUGCCGGGAAUACUGCAGAGCUAGGGAGUGGGAGAGGUAGACGGUACUCGGUAGGAAGGGGUAAAAUCCUUUGAUCUAUUGAUGACCACCAGUGGCGAAGGCGGUCUACCAGAACACGUCCGACGGUGAGGGAUGAAAGCUGGGGGAGCAAACCGGAUUAGAUACCCUAGUAGUC
rnacentral:rRNA from 1 species